rnacentral:rRNA from 1 species
CCUACGGGAGGCAGCAGUGAGGAAUAUUGGUCAAUGGGCGGAAGCCUGAACCAGCCAAGUAGCGUGCGGGAUGAAGGCCCUACGGGUCGUAAACCGCUUUUGCACGGGGAUAACACCCUCCACUUGUGGAGGUCUGCAGGUACCGUGCGAAUAAGGGCCGGCUAAUUCCGUGCCAGCAGCCGCGGUAAUACGGAAGGCACGAGCGUUAUCCGGAUUCAUUGGGCUUAAAGGGAGCGUAGGCGGGCGUUCAAGUCAGCUGUAAAAUCGCGCGGCUCAACCGCGCCCCGCAGUUGAAACUGGACGCAUUGAGUUCACAACAGGCAGGCGGAAUUCGUGGUGUAGCGGUGAAAUGCAUAGAUAUCACGAGGAACCCCGAUUGCGAAGGCAGCCUGCCGGGGUGCGACUGACGCUGAGGCUCGAAGGUGCGGGUAUCAAACAGGAUUAGAUACCCCAGUAGUC